AAUAAUUAUUUUUAAAUAUUUUAAAAUCCGAUGUCAGUUGUAGCCGACACUAAUAAUUGUUUUUAAAUAUUUUAAAAUCCCGCGUUGUUUUAUUAUCUACUAUGGACAUAAUGUGUGAUAAAUUCAUAUAUACUUAAGUUUAAAAAAAAAAAUUUAAUAGGUGAGUCACUAAACUUUUGCAAAAUUUCAAACAUUUUGAAAUUUGAAAUUUUCACACCACUGGAGCAGACUUCCGCACAAAACUCUAAAUAUAAGGGAAGAGAAAUCCAAAUUGUUUCACACCACUCGACCAGUCCACAGUAACCACAACAAUGGCGUUCACAUCGUUAUUCUCUACGCCACAGCCACAAUAGUAGUAGCAGCAACAAUUGCCGUUUCAAAUUCAACAGCCUCACAACCCUUUAAACAAAGCAGCUCCUUCUUCUCCCAACAACCACCGUAGCAUCAGCAGAUGUCGCUGUUUCAACAGCUGCAAUUCCACCAGCAGCAGCAGCUGUUUCAACAGCUGCAAUUUCAGCAGCAGCAGUAGCAACAUCAACUGUAUUUGUUUGCUAAUGACAAGACUCCGGCGAGUUAUUGUACCAAGUGGGCGGAUCUCCAUCCAGAUUACUAGAAAAUUCUUUUGCAGAUUGAGGAAUGGAUACUGGGGUAUAGGGAUGAAAGCCAGUGGCUGGAUCAGUGUCCUUGAGAUGGAAAUGGAAGGAUGUUAAUUUUUGUACUUGAGAUGGAAAUGGAAGGAAGUUAAUUUUUUUCAGUCCUCAGUCCAAUAUCUGCUUACAAGAGUUUUUUUUUUUUUUUAGCAGUUUGAUUAUUUUGUGUAUACAUUAACUUUAUAAAAGUUGAAAAGCAUUUAACUUGGGAGAUCUUAUGCU